UCACUUGCGAAGAGGGGAAUGAAUGGCAGCUUAAAGCUAUCUUAGCUACUUUUAACGGAGCUCUGUUCAUAUGGCAGACGUUUUAUUAAGCUUGUCGCAAGGGAAGAAAAUGAAGAGUUCAAAUUCUGCUGUGAUAUACUCAAAGAUAGCUGCUCCCGCGCUUUUGUUCCGAAGUAGCUAGCUUAGCUAACGUGGACAAACAUGGCUGCCAAUUAUUUAGCCCUAAAAUAACCUGCCAGCACCUAACGUUACAGUGGAGGUCACAGAAGAGGGACUUUCCAUCUCUUGUUGAAGUACUGGACCGUUUUUCCUGAGAUGAAUGGUGUCCUAAAGGCUCAUCCAGUCAUCAAAGUUUUCCAAGAUGUUCCUGCAGUUUCCCUCACCGCCGUCCAGUCGAUUUAAAGUUUUUCAAUCUGAAGCAUCCCUUUUGCUGCUCAUGCUGAUGUCGGCAGUGGCGCUUCAGGAGUAUGAAUGGAGUGGAAAUGAAGGAGGGAAAGGUGACAGGACGGACGAGGAGAGCAACGGAUUAGAUGAAAACAGAAGGUGUUAUGAGAAGUCUUUCAGGCGAGCUGGAGGCCGAGCUGCUGGGCUGCGACUGCAGAGGAGUGUUGGUCUCGUC